rnacentral:tRNA from 1 species
GGGAACGUAGCUCAGUAGUAGAGCACUUGCCUUGCAUGCAUGAGGCCCUGGGUUCGAUUCCUCAGCACCA